ACCCCGGGAGGGGAGUGAAAUAGAUCCUGAAACCGCAUACAUACAAACAGUAGGAGCCUCGUUAAGGGGUGACUGCGUACCUUUUGCAUAAUGGGUCAGCGACUUACGUUUAAUGGCGAGCUUAACCGUAUAGGGGAGGCGCAGCGAAAGCGAGUUCGAACAGAGCGUUCAGUCGUUAGGCGUAGACCCGAAACCAGAUGAUCUAUCCAUGGCCAGGUUGAAGGUGUGGUAACACACACUGGAGGACCGAACCGACUAGUGUUGCAAAAUUAGCGGAUGAGCUGUGGAUAGGGGUGAAAGGCUAAACAAAUCUGGAGAUAGCUGGUUCUCCCCGAAAACUAUUGAGGUAGUGCCUCGUGUAUGACUCCAGGGGGUAGAGCACUGUUAUGGCUAGGGGGACAUGGCGUCUUACCAAACCAUGGCAAACUCCGAAUACUUGGAAGUUUGAGCACGGGAGACAGAGCACCGGGUGCUAACGUCCGGACUCAAGAGGGAAACAACCCAGACCGCCGGCUAAGGUCCCUAAUAUUGACUAAGUGGAAAACGAAGUGGAAAGGCUAAGACAGUCAGGAAGUUGGCUUAGAAGCAGCCAUCCUUCAAAGAAAGCGUAAUAGCUCACUGAUCGAGUCUUUCUGCGCGGAAGAUGUAACGGGGCUAAGUCAAUAACCGAAGCCGCGGAUUCACACUUAUGUGUGAGUGGUAGGGGAGCGUUCUGUAAGCCUGCGAAGGUGACUCGUAAGGGUUGCUGGAGGUAUCAGAAGUGCGAAUGCUGACAUGAGUAACGUUAAAGCGGGUGAAAAGCCCGCUCGCCGUAAGCCCAAGGUUUCCUGCUCUACGUUCAUCGGAGCAGGGUGAGUCGGCCCCUAAGGUGAGGCUGAGAAGCGUAACUGAUGGGAACAAGGUUAAUAUUCCUUGACCACCGCUGAAUGCGAAGGGGGGACGGAGUAUUGAAGAUCAUCCGGGUGUUGGAUAUCCCGGUUUGCGAGCGUAGGAGGCUGACAGGCAAAUCCGUCAGCGAAUCUCCGAGGCAAAGCAUCGAGCUCUCUUUUGAGCGAAGUGAUUGGAUGUGCUUCCAGGAAAAGCCUCUAAGCUCCAGUUCAGCGGGACCGUACCGCAAACCGACACUGGUGGGCGAGCUGAAUAUGCUCAGGCGCUUGAGAGAACUCAGGAGAAGGAACUCGGCAAAUUGACACCGUAACUUCGGGAUAAGGUGUGCCUUUGUAGCGUGGAGGGAGAAACACCCCGAGCGCGAAGAGGUCUCAGAUAAUCGGUGGCUGCGACUGUUUAUUAAAAACACAGCACUCUGCAAAGACGAAAGUCGACGUAUAGGGUGUGAUGCCUGCCCGGUGCUGGAAGAUUAAUUGAUGGGGUGCAAGCUCCUGAUCGAAGUCCCAGUAAACGGCGGCCGUAACUAUAACGGUCCUAAGGUAGCGAAAUUCCUUGUCGGGCAAGUUCCGACCUGCACGAAUGGCAUAACGAUGGCCACACUGUCUCCUCCUGAGACUCAGUGAAGUUGAAGUGUUUGUGAUGAUGCAAUCUCCCCGCGGCUAGACGGAAAGACCCCAUGAACCUUUACUGUAGCUUUGCAUUGGACUUUGAACCGAUCUGUGUAGGAUAGGCGGGAGCCUGUGAAACCACAACGCCAGUUGUGGCGGAGGCGUCCUUGAAAUACCGCCCUGAUUUGUUUGAGGUUCUAACCUGGGACAGUCAUCCUGUCCGGGGACCGUGCAUGGUAGGCAGUUUGACUGGGGCGGUCUCCUCCUAAAGGGUAACGGAGGAGUGCGAAGGUACGCUAGGUACGGUCGGAAAUCGUGCUGAUAGUGCAAUGGCAAAAGCGUGCUUGACUGCGAGACCCACAAGUCGAGCAGAUACGAAAGUAGGUCAUAGUGAUCCGGUGGCUCUGUAUGGAAGGGCCAUCGCUCAACGGAUAAAAGGUACUCUGGGGAUAACAGGCUGAUACCGCCCAAGAGUUCAUAUCGACGGCGGUGUUUGGCACCUCGAUGUCGGCUCAUCUCAUCCUGGGGCUGUAGCCGGUCCCAAGGGUAUGGCUGUUCGCCAUUUAAAGAGGUACGUGAGCUGGGUUUAAAACGUCGUGAGACAGUUUUGUCCCUAUCUGCCGUGGGCGCUGGAAGAUUGACGGGGGCUGCUCCUAGUACGAGAGGACCGGAGUGGACUCACCUCUGGUGUACCGGUUGUCACGCCAGUGGCAUCGCCGGGUAGCUAUGUGGG
rnacentral:rRNA from 1 species